rnacentral:rRNA from 1 species
AUACGGAGGAUCCGAGCGUUAUCCGGAUUUAUUGGGUUUAAAGGGAGCGUAGGUGGAUUGUUAAGUCAGUUGUGAAAGUUUGCGGCUCAACCGUAAAAUUGCAGUUGAAACUGGGAGUCUUGAGUACAGUAGAGGUGGGCGGAAUUCGUGGUGUAGCGGUGAAAUGCUUAGAUAUCACGAAGAACUCCGAUUGCGAAGGCAGCUCACUAGACUGUCACUGACACUGAUGCUCGAAAGUGUGGGUAUCAAACAGGAUUAGAUACCCUGGUAGUCCACACAGUAAACGAUGAAUACUCGCUGUUUGCGAUAUACAGUAAGCGGCCAAGCGAAAGCGUUAAGUAUUCCACCUGGGGAGUACGCCGGCAACGGUGAAACUCAAAGGAAUUGACGGGG